AUCUAUCAUAGCAGUCAAAAGCAUGCAGAUGAUCCAUUGGGAUAUUAGAAAUUGCCAAGCCUUCCAGUUCAUUUCCAUACGAGGCAAAUGAGGAGAAACGAGACUUUUCUUCUCUAAUAUUGAUCUAUUCAAGAGCAAUUUAGUCACAAGUUCUGAUCAUCUGUUCGUACUUGAAUAUGUAAACAUUACAAUAAACGGAACCAAAAGUCAAAGCAUGCAAAGCGAAGUGAAUUUAAACAGUUCAUUCCUUAUUAAAAGAACUGCUUGUCCAUAUUUUUUGACAAGAAUAUGCUUCUUUUAAGAUAGACAGCAAAUAGGCGGUUUUAAGGUUGAUGCAAACAUAAAUCAUGUUACAGCAACUACUUUUAAGGCGUAAAGUUUACCUUCAUAGUUGACAGUAAAUUAUUUUUAUCUUUCUAUUUUUGAAAGCAAAUUCGUAAGGAGAAUAAUAAUAGUAUUAUAAACACCACUUGAUCGCAGUGCUGCGUC